ensembl:lncRNA
AAAGAAGCUAAAUAUUGCUCUUUUCCUUAUUCAGAUACGAAAGCAGCAAGAGCCCGUCUUUGCACAAUCUUCGAAUUGGAAGAUGACUUUUUAAAACUGUGAUCAGCAGUACUACUUCCUGUCACCAUGUGAAGAAGGAUGUGUUUGCUUCACCUUCUGCCAUAAUUGUAAUUUUCCUGAGGCCUCCCCAACCUUGCAGAACUGUGAGUCAAUUAAACCUCCUUCCUUUACAAAUUACUCAGUCUCGUAUGUGUCUUUAUCAUCAAUGUGAAAAUGGGCUAAUACACUUACUAAAAGGACUGGACUAAAAUGUGAAGCCCCAUUUUUGACCUUUGCCCAUGAAUGUUACCAUCCUCUACCCAGAGAUAGAGAGAACAGACAGAAACUACCAGGGAGCACUUUGAGACAGGGUACUCAAGAAGGAAAAAACAAGAAAGUGUGACUCUUUGCUGUGGAAGAAAGGAAAUGAAGUUUUGUUGAUUUAUAUGGUUUGGAUUUGUGUCCCCACCCAAAUUUCACAUUCAAAUGUAAUCCAUAGUGUUGGAGGCUGAACCUGGUAGGAGGUGAUUAAAUCAAGUGGGUGAUUUUUCACGGAUGGUUUAGUGCCAUCCUUUUUGUGCUAUGCUCAUGACAGCAAAUUAGUUCUCAUGAAGUAGGUUACUAAUCCCAGCAACUCGGAAGGCUGAGGCAGGAGAAUCAAUUGAACCCAGGAGGUGGAGGUUGCAGUGAGCCAAGAUCGCACCACUGAGCUCCAGGCUAGGCAACAAAGUGAGACUGUGUCUCAAAAAAAAAAAAAAAAAAAAAAUGUAGCACCCCUGACAACUCUUUUCUUGCUCCUGCUCUUAUCAUGUGAGAUACUUCCCUCCCCCUUUGCCUUCCACUAUGAUUGUAAGUUUCCUGAGACCUUCUUAGAAGUCCAGUAGAUGCCAGUAUCAUGCUUUCUGUACACCUUGUGAAACUGUUAGUCGAUUAACCCUUUUUACUUUAUAAACUAACAAGUCUCAGGUAUUUCUUUUUAGUAAUGUGAGAACAAACUAAAACACUGACCCAAGAGAUUUGAAGUGUGGCAACGAGUUCCAGAUCAAACCUGAUAUUGAAGAGUUGGGAAUAAGUAUAUACAUACUUUGGAACAGUGCUUCUUCACCUAAGCACCACUGAUAUUUGAAGCUGAAUGAUUAUUGUGAUAGAAAGGUUGUCCUGAACAUUGUGAGAUAUUUAGUACACUGCUGGCUUCUAACACCAGAUACAAGUGGCAUCCCCUUCCCUCCAUUAUGACAAGCAAAAUUUCUCCAUAUAUUUCCAAAUGUACCCUGGGAAACAACUUCUUCCAUUUGAGAUUACAGAACACCCUACUGGGACAAUACUAAAAAAAAUAGGUGUGUUGCAAUGGAUAUUGCAGGUAUAAACUAGCAAGAAUUCCAACUUUGUUCCACCUUUGUUAUAAUUUAUUUCUGAAUUUGGUGUUAAAUUGUUAGGAAAUGACUUAAUGUGUCAUUUCAUGGUAUUGUUCUGAUGGAAGUUAUUGAGAUGAGUUAUUUAGAGCAGACCGCAGGGUUGCUGACUCUAUUUUCUUCUGGUCAUCUAAUACUGAAAGGAGU